rnacentral:rRNA from 1 species
UGGUGGAGUGAUUUGUCUGGUUAAUUCCGUUAACGAACGAGACCCCGCCUGCUAAAUAGCCCUGGUACGCAUUUGCGUAGCAGCGGCGCUUCUUAGAGGGACUUUCAGUGAUUAACUGAAGGAAGUUGGGGCAAUAACA